GGGGCACGGCGUCGGGCGCAGGGCACGGCGCAGGGCACGGCGUGGGCGGUGUCGACGCCCUGACGGUGACGGGGGUGAAGGCACCACGGGCUCCCGCCCAGGCCCAGACAUGCCGGUCCUUGUGAGGCAGAAACUUGAGAGGGAGCCAUCCUCUCCCUGAAGCCUCGCGGUGGAACAGCUGUCUGACCCAUUCAAAGGGAAGGAUGAAAUCUCUGCGCAGGCACGCGAUGUGAAUGGAAGAGGCCCGUCACUAUGCAAACAGUACGGCACUCUGAACACACACUAAAGACAGCUCUCAUCUCAAAGAACCCAGCGCUUGUGUCACAGUAUGAGAAGUUAGAUGCUGGGGAAAAGCGUCUGAUGGACGAAGCCUUCCGGCCAGACAGUGAUCUCUUUGGACCCAUUACUUUGCAUUCGCAGUCAGACUGGAUAACCUCCCAUCCUGAGGCUCCCCAAGACUUUGAAGAGUUUUUCAAUGAUCUUUACAGAAAGACACCUUCUCCACAGAAGCACAG